CCCUUAGAUGUUCUGGGCCGCACGCGCGCUACACUGAUUCAUGCACUAAGUAUAUAACCUUGGUAGAAAUGCUUGGGUAAUCUUUGAAACUGAAUCGUGCUGGGGAUUGGAGCUUGUAAUUAUUCUCCAUGAACGAGGAAUUCCUAGUAAACGCGAGUCAUCAGCUCGCAUUGAUUACGUCCCUGCCCUUUGUACACACCGCCCGUCGCACCUACCGAUUGAAUGGUCCGGUGAAAUCUUGGGAUUUUGUUUUGUUUGCAUUUAUUUGUAUCGAGACGAGAGAACUUGAGUAAACCUUACCAUUUAGAGGAAGGUGAAGUCGCAACA
rnacentral:rRNA from 1 species